GUGGAGUUCAGCCCAGCCAGUCUGGUAGGAGCACAGUCGUCCGGACUGUGUCUAUGGUCGCUCCGCGGGCCGCUUUGCUGGCUGGUGCAUUUGUAUCAGGGCAAGCAGUAUUAUUCCAUGGCAGGGAACUUCUGGCAGAGCUCCCACUAGUAAGUGAGCUUCCAUUUUCUCGCCUGGGGCCGGGGCUGGGGCACAGGAGGGCUGGGCCUGCCCAUCCCUCGGGGUUUCCAUCCUGGCCGCUGCGGGUGAGCCCUCCCUGGGAAGCCGGGGGUCCGAAACGUGAUGCUGUCGUUUGCGAGCCUCCCCUCUUCUCACAGAGAGAUUUCGGGAGCAGAGGGGAGGUGAGCUCGAAGGAUGGGUAAGAGGUAAGGGGUUUGAUCUCCGGGAAGGGAGUCGGAGGCGGUUUCAUUUCAAAUUUGGGGUUUGAUUGGUGGGAUGAUGUGGGCACCGGCAAGGGAAAGAGUGACCCAUUGUAGCUCUGUGAGGUUCCCUGCUUUGGAUGGACAUGGUUGGCUAUUGCUAGCUAGCUUGUUUGUUUGUUUGUUUUUUCAUAGCAGUGAUAUUAUAAUCUCUUGUCAUUCGCCUUACUGUAGAUUUAAUAUUUACUCAGAGGAGAGGAGUGAGUCGUGCUUGUUUCUACCUGCUGCUUCCUGGCCCAGCCUUAUGCCUAGAUUGACACCACUACCCCCAUCCCCGAAGCAGUGUUUCUCACGUUGAGGGAUGGCUGCCCUAAAACUCACAGGCUGGCAUCGAACUUAAUGAAAUCUGCCUGCCUCUGCUUCUGCUUCUAAGUGUUGGAAUUAAAGGCAUGAGCCACCAAUUGCAGGCUCCUAAAUUGACUUUAAUGCUUCUAGAAUUUGCGAGCACAGGGGCUCUCAAAAUAUAUCCAUUUUCAUUCAUUAGCCAGUGUCUUAUAUUUUGCCUUAAAGUCGUGUAUUUCCCAGAUUUUGUCCUCUUCCUUUAACCACUUAAAUCACUAAAUUUUAAUGUCUUUCAGUGACCAUGGAAGGGCUAAAGUAAUCUUAAAGAUAUUUGUCUCUAAAUACAUUUGGUUAAACAUGCAGGAAGUUGUAUGCUUGGGCUAAGCGUUGAGCAGGCUUUCCACUAAAUACAUAAAAAAUGAACAGGACUAGAUAGAGACAUUUAGUUUAAUUAAAUUUUAGUGGGAAGAGAAUAACAAAAUUUUAAUUCUGUGAAUUGGUUUGCUUGUUUCCCUCUUUGCCUGAGAAUAAAGAAGAAGAAGGGGG
rnacentral:lncRNA from 1 species